UUACAUCUUCAAACUAAGGGCAACCGUGGUAUGGCAUUCCUGACAGGUUAGAUGCAUGAUGAUGCAUACAUGAUGAUGUAUACAGAGGCCAGUGAAGACCAUGAUUGUAACUUAAAAGCAGUUUGCUUGGCUAAAGCCUCCACCACUCCCCUCAGCAGACGAAGUUCCAGAGGUAGAGUCCCAGGGGUCCGUGCAGAGUCUCAUAGGGACUACCAAAGGCAUUGUACAUAAAGAAGCCUGUG